rnacentral:tRNA from 1 species
GAUAAGAAAAGCACUUAAACCUUUAUUCUAGGGGCUACAACCCUACACCUAAUUCGGCCAUCUUACC